rnacentral:rRNA from 1 species
UUAAGCGACUAAGCGUACACGGUGGAUGCCCUGGCAGUCAGAGGCGAUGAAGGACGUGCUAAUCUGCGAAAAGCGUCGGUAAGGUGAUAUGAACCGUUAUAGCCGGCGAUGUCCGAAUGGGGAAACCCAGUGCAAUUCGUUGCACUAUCGUUAACUGAAUACAUAGGUUAACGAGGCGAACCGGGGGAACUGAAACAUCUAAGUACCCCGAGGAAAAGAAAUCAACCGAGAUUCCCCCAGUAGCGGCGAGCGAACGGGGAGCAGCCCAGAGUCUGAAUCAGCUUGUGUGUUAGUGGAACGGUCUGGAAAGUCCGACGGUACAGGGUGAUAGUCCCGUACACCAAAAUGCACAGGCUGUGAACUCGAAGAGUAGGGCGGGACACGUGGUAUCCUGUCUGAAUAUGGGGGGACCAUCCUCCAAGGCUAAAUACUCCUGACUGACCGAUAGUGAACCAGUACCGUGAGGGAAAGGCGAAAAGAACCCCGGCGAGGGGAGUGAAAAAGAACCUGAAACCGUGUACGUACAAGCAGUGGGAGCACCUUCGGGUGUGACUGCGUACCUUUUGUAUAAUGGGUCAGCGACUUAUAUUCUGUAGCAAGGUUAACCGUAUAGGGGAGCCGCAGGGAAACCGAGUCUUAACUGGGCGUUAAGUUGCAGGGUAUAGACCCGAAACCCGGUGAUCUAGCCAUGGGCAGGUUGAAGGUUGGGUAACACUAACUGGAGGACCGAACCGACUAAUGUUGAAAAAUUAGCGGAUGACUUGUGGCUGGGGGUGAAAGGCCAAUCAAACCGGGAGAUAGCUGGUUCUCCCCGAAAGCUAUUUAGGUAGCGCCUCGUGAACUCAUCUUCGGGGGUAGAGCACUGUUUCGGCUAGGGGGUCAUCCCGACUUACCAACCCGAUGCAAACUACGAAUACCGAAGAAUGUUAUCACGGGAGACACACGGCGGGUGCUAACGUCCGUCGUGAAGAGGGAAACAACCCAGACCGCCAGCUAAGGUCCCAAAGUCAUGGUUAAGUGGGAAACGAUGUGGGAAGGCACAGACAGCCAGGAUGUUGGCUUAGAAGCAGCCAUCAUUUAAAGAAAGCGUAAUAGCUCACUGGUCGAGUCGGCCUGCGCGGAAGAUGUAACGGGGCUAAACCAUGCACCGAAGCUGCGGCAGCGACACUAUGUGUUGUUGGGUAGGGGAGCGUUCUGUAAGCCUGCGAAGGUGUGCUGUGAGGCAUGCUGGAGGUAUCAGAAGUGCGAAUGCUGACAUAAGUAACGAUAAAGCGGGUGAAAAGCCCGCUCGCCGGAAGACCAAGGGUUCCUGUCCAACGUUAAUCGGGGCAGGGUGAGUCGACCCCUAAGGCGAGGCCGAAAGGCGUAGUCGAUGGGAAACAGGUUAAUAUUCCUGUACUUGGUGUUACUGCGAAGGGGGGACGGAGAAGGCUAUGUUAGCCGGGCGACGGUUGUCCCGGUUUAAGCAUGUAGGCUGGUUGUCCAGGCAAAUCCGGAUAAUCAAGGCUGAGGUGUGAUGACGAGGCACUACGGUGCUGAAGUAACAAAUGCCCUGCUUCCAGGAAAAGCCUCUAAGCAUCAGGUAACAUCAAAUCGUACCCCAAACCGACACAGGUGGUCAGGUAGAGAAUACCAAGGCGCUUGAGAGAACUCGGGUGAAGGAACUAGGCAAAAUGGUGCCGUAACUUCGGGAGAAGGCACGCUGGUGUGUAGGUGAAGUCCCUGCGGAUGGAGCUGAGACCAGUCGAAGAUACCAGCUGGCUGCAACUGUUUAUUAAAAACACAGCACUGUGCAAACACGAAAGUGGACGUAUACGGUGUGACGCCUGCCCGGUGCCGGAAGGUUAAUUGAUGGGGUUAUCCGUAAGGAGAAGCUCUUGAUCGAAGCCCCGGUAAACGGCGGCCGUAACUAUAACGGUCCUAAGGUAGCGAAAUUCCUUGUCGGGUAAGUUCCGACCUGCACGAAUGGCGUAAUGAUGGCCAGGCUGUCUCCACCCGAGACUCAGUGAAAUUGAACUCGCUGUGAAGAUGCAGUGUACCCGCGGCAAGACGGAAAGACCCCGUGAACCUUUACUAUAGCUUGACACUGAACAUUGAGCCUUGAUGUGUAGGAUAGGUGGGAGGCUUUGAAGCGUGGACGCCAGUCUGCGUGGAGCCAACCUUGAAAUACCACCCUUUAAUGUUUGAUGUUCUAACGUUGGCCCCUGACCGGGGUUGCGGACAGUGUCUGGUGGGUAGUUUGACUGGGGCGGUCUCCUCCCAAAGCGUAACGGAGGAGCACGAAGGUUAGCUAAUCCUGGUCGGACAUCAGGAGGUUAGUGCAAUGGCAUAAGCUAGCUUGACUGCGAGCGUGACGGCGCGAGCAGGUGCGAAAGCAGGUCAUAGUGAUCCGGUGGUUCUGAAUGGAAGGGCCAUCGCUCAACGGAUAAAAGGUACUCCGGGGAUAACAGGCUGAUACCGCCCAAGAGUUCAUAUCGACGGCGGUGUUUGGCACCUCGAUGUCGGCUCAUCACAUCCUGGGGCUGAAGUAGGUCCCAAGGGUAUGGCUGUUCGCCAUUUAAAGUGGUACGCGAGCUGGGUUUAGAACGUCGUGAGACAGUUCGGUCCCUAUCUGCCGUGGGCGCUGGAGAAUUGAGGGGGGCUGCUCCUAGUACGAGAGGACCGGAGUGGACGCAUCACUGGUGUUCGGGUUGUCAUGCCAAUGGCACUGCCCGGUAGCUAAAUGCGGAAGAGAUAAGUGCUGAAAGCAUCUAAGCACGAAACUUGCCCCGAGAUGAGUUCUCCCUGAGACUUUAAGUCUCCUGAAGGAACGUUAAAGACGAUGACGUUGAUAGGCCGGGUGUGUAAGCGCAGCGAUGCGUUGAGCUAACCGGUACUAAUGAACCGUGAGGCUUAACCUU